rnacentral:rRNA from 1 species
UGCCAGCCGCCGCGGUAAUACGGAGGGGGUUAGCGUUGUUCGGAAUUACUGGGCGUAAAGCGUACGUAGGCGGAUUAAUAAGUUAGAGGUGAAAUCCCAGGGCUCAACCCUGGAACUGCCUUUAAACUUUUCAGCUAGAGUAUGAUAGAGGAAAGCAGAAUUUCUAGUGUAGAGGUGAAAUUCGUAGAUAUUAGGAAGAACAUCAGUGGCGAAGGCGACUCACUGGUCCGAUACUGACGCUGAGGUGCGAAAGCGUGGGGAGCAAACAGGAUUAGAUA